UACGAAGGGGGGCUAGCGUUGCUCGGAAUUACUGGGCGUAAAGGGAGCGUAGGCGGAUAGUUCAGUCAGAGGUGAAAUCCCGGGGCUCAACCUCGGAACUGCCUUUGAUACUGGCCAUCUUGAGUAUGGGAGAGGUGUGUGGAACUCCGAGUGUAGAGGUGAAAUUCGUAGAUAUUCGCAAGAACACCAGUGGCGAAGGCGGCUCACUGGCCCGGAACUGACGCUGAGGUGCGAAAGCGUGGGGAGCAAACAGG
rnacentral:rRNA from 1 species